rnacentral:rRNA from 1 species
GGUGAACGCUGGCGGCGUGCCUAAUACAUGCAAGUCGAGCGAACGGACGAGAAGCUUGCUUUUCUGAUGUUAGCGGCGGACGGGUGAGUAACACGUGGAUAACCUACCUAUAAGACUGGGAUAACUUCGGGAAACCGGAGCUAAUACCGGAUAAUAUUUUGAACCGCAUGGUUCAAAAGUGAAAGACGGUCUUGCUGUCACUUAUAGAUGGAUCCGCGCUGCAUUAGCUAGUUGGUAAGGUAACGGCUUACCAAGGCAACGAUGCAUAGCCGACCUGAGAGGGUGAUCGGCCACACUGGAACUGAGACACGGUCCAGACUCCUACGGGAGGCAGCAGUAGGGAAUCUUCCGCAAAGGGCGAAAGCCUGACGGAGCAACGCCGCGUGAGUGAUGAAGGUCUUCGGAUCGUAAAACUCUGUUAUUAGGGAAGAACAUAUGUGUAAGUAACUGUGCACAUCUUGACGGUACCUAAUCAGAAAGCCACGGCUAACUACGUG